AGUGAACGCUGGCGGUAGGCCUAACACAUGCAAGUCGAACGGCAGCACAGGAGAGCUUGCUCUCUGGGUGGCGAGUGGCGGACGGGUGAGGAAUACAUCGGAAUCUACUUUUUCGUGGGGGAUAACGUAGGGAAACUUACGCUAAUACCGCAUACGACCUACGGGUGAAAGCAGGGGAUCUUCGGACCUUGCGCGAUUGAAUGAGCCGAUGUCGGAUUAGCUAGUUGGCGGGGUAAAGGCCCACCAAGGCGACGAUCCGUAGCUGGUCUGAGAGGAUGAUCAGCCACACUGGAACUGAGACACGGUCCAGACUCCUACGGGAGGCAGCAGUGGGGAAUAUUGGACAAUGGGCGCAAGCCUGAUCCAGCCAUACCGCGUGGGUGAAGAAGGCCUUCGGGUUGUAAAGCCCUUUUGUUGGGAAAGAAAUCCAGCUGGCUAAUACCCGGUUGGGAUGACGGUACCCAAAGAAUAAGCACCGGCUAACUUCGUGCCAGCCGCCGCCGUAAUAC
rnacentral:rRNA from 1 species